rnacentral:lncRNA from 1 species
GUCCUCGCGCCGAGCCCCUGCGCGGGGCAUGAGGAGCCCCGGGGCGCCGCCCGGAGACGGAGAGGACCCGGCUGCGCGCACACCUCGCCAGCGGCGGACGGGGACAUGAGCGGCGCGCGCGGGCUCCGGGGCCCGGCGGCCAGCCCCAGCCCGCGGCGGCCAGCGGGUCGGCGCUGCCCGGGAGAAUGAGGCAGGAGCCCGCGGCAGCCUCCUCCUCCUCCUCCUCCUCCUCCUCCCCCUGCUGCUGCUCUUCGCCUUCCUCCGGCUCCGGCGCCCCGGGCCCCGGCCGGGCUGUGGCUCUGCUGCGUGCCCCGCGCGCCCCCCGCCCGCCUCCGGAUGCGCUGCUCGCUCUGAAGACUCUGCCGUAGAACUUUGGAUUCUGACGUUCUAAGAUUGCUUCACUAUUAAAGAGAUGUGUGAACUCGGCUUCAAUGGAGCGCUCUGGGUUGGUGUUGGCUGGGCCACCAGAACUGGGCAACAGUUCUUUUGUAUCCCACCUCCCUCUGGAAAACUCAGCGGGCAUGCCACCAACCCCGGCUGCCCAGCUGACUCAUCCACCUUGGGAAGGCGGACGGGUUGGCCUUGAACGCCAGCCUCUGCCAGCCCCUCUGGCCCCUGCUGGUCCACGUGCGACAUUCCACUCCACUUUCUCCCACCAGCUGUCCACGGAAUGCCGUCCACGCCGGCUCCCACUGUGUGUGGCUGGCCUGCUGUGCGCGCCAGAAAUCUCCCAGCUCCAGAAUGGAUGGAGAGGACCCCCCCUCGUUUUACCAAUGGAGAAACUGAGACCCAGAAAGGGAAGGAGACUGCCAGGUCCUAUACAGGGCAACAGAGCCUGUUUUCAAAACCUGGCGUCAGAAGCCAGGUACCUGCUUGGUUUGGGGCAUCCUCUGUUCCACGUGGUGAGUUUCGUUUUCCCAGGGGUGGCGACCCCAGGUACACACCUGGCAGACGUCUUGCUGCGGGAGUCAGCCUGGCUGGCAGCCCUGGCUGCCGCCCCCUUGGAUCCACUGCCACAUUCUCUCCGGGCCACAUUCCUGCAGCCCCGUGACUGA